AUAGGGGAGGAGGUUGGAAUUUUGAAUAGUGUCAUCAGAAAGGACUUCACAGGCAUGGUGACAGGCAAAUAUAUUUCUUGACCUCAUGGGAAGUAGUUGAACAGUUUCUAUCUUAUAAAAUCAUGAAAAUUAUUUAGUUUUCAGAGUGUAAGUCUUCCAUAGCAUCUUUCAUCUUUUUGUCGGAUUGUUUACCUUUUUACAGUCUGAGUUUUAUAUUUGUGUUUUUCCUCCCCCCCCCCCUUUUUUUGUCUUUUUAGGGCCUCACCUGUGGCAAGUGGAGGUACCCAGGCUAGGGGGGUCCAAUCAGAGCUGUAGCUGCUGACCUACACCACAGCCACAGCAACUUGGGACCUGGGUUGCGUCUUUGAACUACACCACAGCUCACGGCAAUGCCAGAUCUUUAAUCCACUGAGCAAGGUCAGAGAUUGAACCCAAGUCCUCAUGGAUGUUAGUUGGAUUCCUUAACUGCUGAGCCACGAUGGGAGCUCCACAUCCUUAUUUCUUAACACAUUUACUCGAGCCUGCUCCUUCCAUGCAGUGGCUCCAUCAGUUAGAGCGCCACCUCCCUGCCCCCAUUGCUCUUGAGACUUUUGUCCAUCAGACUGGUGGCUGGCAUUUGGAGGUUUCACUUCUUUUUUCUCUCAGAUUGUGCCCGCCUUUCCAUCAGACAACUGGCACACCCUUGAAAUUUACCUGUGGUCCCCUGUGCCCUGUGAGAGAGGCCUGACCCUUGAGGCCCUGAGCCCCGCUUGUAGGGUCUUCCUCUCUGUGUUCCCUGCUUCUGGCCCUGGUGGGGGAAGGGCGAGUGGGCUCAUGGUAACCAUCCCUUGGCUGCUGAGUGGCCUCAGAGGGGCCUGCAGCCUGGCCUUUAACCCCAGCUCAGGGCUCGAGGCCCGGAAGCUACUGGGAGGCACAUUUGUGAAUUGAUCAAGCCAGAAACUUAGCAGGUGGCUCAGAUGUGUGGUCUGCACCGUCCCUCACCUGGCCUUAGUUACUGCAACCUCUUAAGUCUUCCCCACAGCCCUCUCCAUUCCUUGGUGUUGCUGUGAUUCAGGUCAGUGGUGCCCUUGCCACGUCGUGUCAGGGCUGUUCAGGGUCUCCUGGGGUGAGGGUCUCCUGGCCCCUCUCCGUGGCGGGCCCUCAGUCUCUCUCCCUCUGUCAGGGCAUCUCGCUGCCACCCCCUGCUGCUGGCUCAUCAAGGUUCCUGUUGGAUCAGGUGAUUGCGCUUUUAAAGCUGCCUCACAUGUUGACAGGACUAGGUUCCUUAGCGGGACAUUCGCCCCCCGUCCCCUUUCUCCGGUUCUGUCCCUCCAACUGCCCUCCAGUCCCCACCUCUAACAGAUGCUGCCCAAGCAGGCUGCAUUAUGCUGCUGUGUUUUCGCACGGACUUUUGUCCUUUACUGACUUUUUACCUCCUGGUUGGCCCAGUGAAGUCAUCCCAGUCCUUUAGCACUACUUCCUUUCUCAGUGUUGACAGACUUUCACUCCUGCCCGGUGUCAUCAGGUACCAUGUGUACCUGUUCUGUGGCGCUUCUCGAGCAGCUGGAGUUAUUUGUGUCUUUCCCCUUCCCUGCCUGGGAAGGUGGGUUGGAAUUGUACUUGUUAGCCCAGGGUAUGCUGGGUACCCGGUCUACGGUUGUUGACUACAUCCAUCAGUGACUCUGAAAUCUGAUGUUGGCUGCUAGGUGGAUGGUGCCUCCAGGUAGAGAUGUAGCAGUCAUUUGUUAUGCAUUGUUGCUCACUCCUGCUGUAGAUAUCCACUGAUGCAGCAAGAGCCUGUAGGUGAAGGCAAGACUUUUCUAAAAUUUAUGUGGAAAGACAAAGAAACUAGAAUAGCUAAAACAAUUUUGAAAAAUGAGAAUAAAGUGUGAAAAGUCAAUCUGUCCAAUUCCAUAAGCUGCAGCAGUCAGUUCCGUGCGUUGUUGCUGUAGGUAUAGACACACAGAUCAAGAUUCAGGGCAGAGGUGUUCCCAUGGUGGUGCAGCAGAAACGAAUCCGACUAGGAACCAUGAGAUUGCGGGUUCCCUCCCUGGCCUCACUCAGUGGGUCACGGAUCCGACAUUGCAGUGAACUGUGGUAUAGGUCGCAGAUGCGGCCUGGAUCUUGGCAUAGGCUGGUGGCUAUAGCUCCAAUUAGACCCAUAACCUGGGAACCUCCAUAUGCCACAGGUGUGGC
rnacentral:lncRNA from 1 species